GGAUGUGAGGGCGAUCUGGCUGCGACAUCUGUCACCCCAUUGAUCCGCCAGGGUUGAUUCAGCUGAUCUGGCUGGCUAGGCGGGUGUCCCCUUCCUCCCUUACCACUCCUUGUGCUUCCCUCCCGAAGCUGCGCACUCCGUCGAAGAGGACUGACGGGUCUUCAGUCAAGGGUAUACGAGUAGCUGCGCUCCCCUGCUAGAACCUCCAAACAAGCUCUCAAACAAGCCAAGUGGUGUUAUUUGUCUCCACCCUCAUCACACACAAGAAUUCCUAAAAU
rnacentral:snRNA from 1 species